rnacentral:rRNA from 1 species
GGUUAAGCGACUAAGCGUACACGGUGGAUGCCUAGGCAGUCAGAGGCGAUGAAGGGCGUGCUAAUCUGCGAAAAGCGUCGGUAAGCUGAUAUGAAGCGUAAUAACCGACGAUACCCGAAUGGGGAAACCCAGUGCAAUUCGUUGCACUAUUGCAUGGUGAAUACAUAGCCAUGCAAGGCGAACCGGGGGAACUGAAACAUCUAAGUACCCCGAGGAAAAGAAAUCAACCGAGAUUCCCCCAGUAGCGGCGAGCGAACGGGGAAGAGCCCAGAGUCUGAAUCAGUUGGUGUGUUAGUGGAAGCGUCUGGAAAGUCGCACGGUACAGGGUGAUAGUCCCGUACACAAAAACACACUGGCUGUGAACUCGAUGAGUAGGGCGGGACACGUGACAUCCUGUCUGAAUAUGGGGGGACCAUCCUCCAAGGCUAAAUACUCCUGACUGACCGAUAGUGAACCAGUACCGUGAGGGAAAGGCGAAAAGAACCCCGGCGAGGGGAGUGAAAUAGAACCUGAAACCGUGUACGUACAAGCAGUGGGAGCACCUUCGUGGUGUGACUGCGUACCUUUUGUAUAAUGGGUCAGCGACUUAUAUUUUGUAGCAAGGUUAACCGAAUAGGGGAGCCGUAGGGAAACCGAGUCUUAACUGGGCGUCUAGUUGCAAGGUAUAGACCCGAAACCCGGUGAUCUAGCCAUGGGCAGGUUGAAGGUUGGGUAACACUAACUGGAGGACCGAACCGACUAAUGUUGAAAAAUUAGCGGAUGACUUGUGGCUGGGGGUGAAAGGCCAAUCAAACCGGGAGAUAGCUGGUUCUCCCCGAAAGCUAUUUAGGUAGCGCCUCGUGAACUCAUCUUCGGGGGUAGAGCACUGUUUCGGCUAGGGGUCCAUCCCGGAUUACCAAACCGAUGCAAACUCCGAAUACCGAAGAAUGUUAUCACGGGAGACACACGGCGGGUGCUAACGUCCGUCGUGAAGAGGGAAACAACCCAGACCGCCAGCUAAGGUCCCAAAGUCAUGGUUAAGUGGGAAACGAUGUGGGAAGGCAUAGACAGCCAGGAUGUUGGCUUAGAAGCAGCCAUCAUUUAAAGAAAGCGUAAUAGCUCACUGGUCGAGUCGGCCUGCGCGGAAGAUGUAACGGGGCUAAACCAUGCACCGAAGCUGCGGCAGCGA